CACAUGCAAGUCGAACGGGAUGCUUAGGCAUCUAGUGGCGGACGGGUGAGUAACGCGUGAGAAUCUGGCUCCAGGUCGGGGAUAACAGUUGGAAACGACUGCUAAUACCGGAUGUGCCGAGAGGUGAAAGAUUUAUUGCCUGGAGAUGAGCUCGCGUCUGAUUAGCUAGUUGGUGGUGUAAGGGACCACCAAGGCGUCGAUCAGUAGCUGGUCUGAGAGGAUGAUCAGCCACACUGGGACUGAGACACGGCCCAGACUCCUACGGGAGGCAGCAGUGGGGAAUUUUCCGCAAUGGGCGAAAGCCUGACGGAGCAAUACCGCGUGAGGGAGGAAGGCUCUUGGGUCGUAAACCUCUUUUCUCAAGGAAGAAGAAAGUGACGGUACUUGAGGAAUAAGCAUCGGCUAACUCCGUGCCAGCAGCCGCGGUAAUACGGAGGAUGCAAGCGUUAUCCGGAAUGAUUGGGCGUAAAGGGUCUGCAGGUGGAACUGAAAGUCUGCUGUUAAAGAGUUUGGCUUAACCAAAUAAAAGCGGUGGAAACUACAGAACUAGAGUGCGGUAGGGGCAAAAGGAAUUCCUGGUGUAGCGGUGAAAUGCGUAGAUAUCAGGAAGAACACCGGUGGCGAAAGCGUUUUGCUAGACCGUAACUGACACUGAGGGACGAAAGCUAGGGGAGCGAAUGGGAUUAGAUACCCCAGUAGUCCUAGCCGUAAACGAUGGAUACUAGGCGUGGCUUGUAUCGACCCGAGCCGUGCCGGAGCUAACGCGUUAAGUAUCCCGCCUGGGGAGUACGCACGCAAGUGUGAAACUCAAAGGAAUUGACGGGGGCCCGCACAAGCGGUGGAGUAUGUGGUUUAAUUCGAUGCAACGCGAAGAACCUUACCAAGACUUGACAUCCUGCGAAUCCUGGUGAAAGCUAGGAGUGCCUUAGGGAGCGCAGAGACAGGUGGUGCAUGGCUGUCGUCAGCUCGUGUCGUGAGAUGUUGGGUUAAGUCCCGCAACGAGCGCAACCCUCGUUUUUAGUUGCCAGCAUUAAGUUGGGCACUCUAGAGAGACUGCCGGUGACAAACCGGAGGAAGGUGAGGAUGACGUCAAGUCAGCAUGCCCCUUACGUCUUGGGCUACACACGUACUACAAUGCUACGGACAGAGGGCAGCGAGCCAGGGAUGGCAAGCGAAUCCAGAAACCGUAGCUCAGUUCAGAUCGAAGGCUGCAACUCGCCUUCGUGAAGGAGGAAUCGCUAGUAAUUGCAGGUCAGCAUACUGCAGUGAAUUCGUUCCCGGGCCUUGUACACACCGCCCGUCACACCAUGGAAGUUGGUCACGCCCGAAGUCAUUACCCCAACCGAAAGGAGGGGGAUGCCUAAGGUAGGACUGGUACUGGGGUGA
rnacentral:rRNA from 1 species